rnacentral:rRNA from 1 species
UGCAUAUUCAAAAAGCGGAGGAAAAGAAACCAACAGGGUGCCUAGUAACGGCGAGUGAAGCGGCAACAGCUCAAAUUUGAAAUCUGGCUCUUUCAGAGUCCGAGUUGUAAUUUGCAGAGGGCGCUUUGGCUUUGGCAGCGGUCCAAGUUCCUUGGAACAGGACGUCACAGAGGGUGAGAAUCCCGUACGUGGUCGCUAGCUAUUGCCGUGUAAAGCCCCUUCGACGAGUCGAGUUGUUUGGGAAUGCAGCUCUAAAUGGGAGGUAAAUUUCUUCUAAAGCUAAAUAUUGGCCAGAGACCGAUAGCGCACAAGUAGAGUGAUCGAAAGAUGAAAAGCACUUUGGAAAGAGAGUCAAACAGCACGUGAAAUUGUUGAAAGGGAAGCGCUUGCAGCCAGACUUGCUUGCAGUUGCUCAUCCGGGCUUUUGCCCGGUGCACUCUUCUGCAGGCAGGCCAGCAUCAGUUUGGGCGGUGGGAUAAAGGUCUCUGUCAUGUACCUCUCUUCGGGGAGGCCUUAUAGGGGAGGCGACAUACCACCAGCCUAGACUGAGGUCCGCGCAUCUGCUAGGAUGCUGGCGUAAUGGCUGUAAGCGGCCCGUCUUG